rnacentral:lncRNA from 1 species
CGAUGAGGACGUCGUACGUCCCGUGGAAUCCUCUGAACGUGUACUCGCCUUGUUCGUUGACAUGUCCGUGAGCAUGAGACGACCACUCUUUCCUGAGAGCCAGGUAUCUCUUGCCGGCUUCAUUGACAUCCCCCUCCGCAUUGACCAGGUGCGCGUUGUCUCGGCUCAUAAACAGCUCCCAGAAUCCCCACAGCAUUAUCCCAUCUACUGCAGGAUGUGCAAAUGCUUCUCGGAGCAUGACCUCCAGAUCAUCAGCUCUUACGUACUCGUUAACAGAGGACACAUCAAGCUCAGUGAACCAGAUUGGAAGGCCGAGGAUGCCCAGCUUAUCCAAAGCCGAAUUAAUGAUUGGUCCCACUGGAUUAUCUAUAUGCCCUUGAAUCCCGAUUCCGCCGACUGGUGCGCCUUGUUCCUGUAGACCAAGAAUGUGUUCUAUGUAGCCCUCAGGGCAUGACUUGGUGUCGCACCCAUCUUCCACAUGAUAAUCAUUCACAAAUAGUGUGGCAGAUGGAUCUAAUUGGUUUGCAGUCUUAAACAUAUUUGCUCGGAUAUCUUUUCCUAAUCUAUCUUGAUAGAAUGAUCCGUGUAGCAUCUCGUUGUUCACAUCAUAGUGACUGAACUUGCCCUUGUAGCGAGAAAGAAGCCCGUUUAAACGGUUUUGAACAGCGCUCAUCAAGUCAUUGUUGUUGAGGGAUCGGACCCACGAUUGAACCGUGCUCUCCACUUCCCAAAAGAUACAGUGGCCUCUGGUUUCUAUGCCAUGGCUCUUACACAAGUCAAGCAUCUCAUCAGCAUCCCGGUAGUUAAAAUUUCCCUGUUGUGGCUCCGUCCAGUACCACUUCAAUUCAUUCCCAAAAACAGUCCAGUUGAAGUUCUUCACGAAGAAAUCGACAAAAUCUUCGUUAUCUAUGUUUGUUCUGCUUAUGCACGAGCCAAACGGAAAACUAUUUUGUGUCUGUUUGACAAUCACGGUGGCACCAACCAAGCUGCUUGAAUCCGCACCAGAAAACUUCAGGACAACAUCACGCUUACGGAGCUGCAGCAGUGAAAGGAAAACAUGAAAAUUAGAAACCAAGGCACAUGACUUUGCCUGAUAUACAAGUAAACAUGUUUAAGGGAGUAGUAAACUUGGUCAGAUAUCCAAGCAACCUAAUUCACAUAAAAUAUGAGCUUACUCUGCUAUACUUAUCAAGGAGCGAGUAUUCAAUUUUGAACAAUAUUUAUUCCCUGAAUUGCAGGUGCAAUGUUUAACUUAUAUAGGCAAUCAAUGGCGAGAUUAGGAAUAACAAGUUCCAAGAUAUUCUAAGCAGUGAAACUGUAAGUGCCAUCAUCUUUCUAGGGCGAAAAGCAAGAACGCAAGUUUAUAACUCCCAUCAGCAAGUUAUAGACACAACUCAGACACUACAAGCGCAUUGCAAAAGUACAGUCACUUUGUCAAAAGAGAAAACUAUGAUUGGAAAUUGUCAUCAAUCCAGUUAAGCCAGGACACCCACUGAUUGAUCAUUAUACCACAAAUCUUGCACUAAAGUUAUUCCUGGAAGUUACCUUAUCAGUCAGAUGUUUCAGAUGGUUAAACCUCGCUUGUCGAUCAACUGGGAAUAUUUGAACCCCUGCAACCAUCAAGUCAACACCUGGAGCAGGACCCUGGAUGUAGACCAUGACCUUUGACGGUUGCUUUUCAAUUCUGAAUGAUCCACUAAGUUCAUGCCAUCUGUCAUCAUUAGCCUCGACUUGCCCACCAUUGACCCAUUGGUUGUCCACACCAAGUGCAACAUUAAUAUUUUGAGGACCACUCGCACCAGAACCUAUCCGUACCCAAGCGGAAACUUGAUAUGUCAAAAAGAGUUUGAGCUUAUCAGUGAUCAUCUGAGCGGGGCCCAUCCAAGUCUGUGUGCGAUUUGUCACAAGGAUGUAACUGCCACUCAAAGGCUCAUGAGGCCCAAGCGAAUCUCUUGCUGAGGAGGGAAGAAUGUGCGGUGAACCAGCUCGAACACUCAAAGUGCAGUUACCAAGGGGGAACCAUUCAUUAGUCCCAUUAUCUAGGUCACUGUUUCCUAUUAUAUUUACUCCAAAAGCUGGAUUCUGCAAAAUGAAGAGUGGCGGACGGGUGCUUAAAUAUACAGGUUUCAUUUGUAGAGAAGCAGUUUUCAGAAUGUCUAAGAGAAUCUUCAAACAUUAAUGAAAUAAAGAAGAUAUAUCAAUCGGAAUAUUCAGUAGCUACAAACCUGAAUAACUGGUGGAGGAGAAGGAGCAGCUUUUGCCGCAUGCUUUACUGUUAAGCUGUUCACAAGAAUAUCAGUACCGGCAGGUGGACCUUCAAUGUAGAUGAUAACUUUUGACGGGGAACCAUUCAAGAGAAACUUCCCCUGCAUUUGUGUCCAGUCCUUGUCUGUUGCUUGCACGCUUGAGAGAGAUAAAAAAGUUGAAGCACUUAAGGGGCAUAGAUUAAAAUCAUUAAACACAGGAUACUAGCAGCCAGAGGAGAGAGAAUAAAAUUUCUUUCUCAUGAACCAUAAAUGGAAGGUGAUCACAAGAAAUAAUUGACCAUGUCUGUCCUUUUGGAUACUCAAGGAUGAGAGAAGCUUGGCCUACCAUUCCAUAUUUCUGUCAUUGGUAUCACUUGCUAUAACCAUAUGAAGCUUAUUUAGGUGAGGGGAAUUCAAACUUACUUGGCUACGCCUAUGUACUGCUCACGGAGAUCCGGCGUUUGGGUCCACAGCGUGAUCCGGACGUCAGUGCUGCUGACAUUGUUACCAAAUAUACGAACCAAUGCAGUGACCUCAUAAGCAAGUUUUCUUUGUAGCCUUCCAGUAACUUCUUGCUGAAUCCCGUUCCAAGUCUGGGUACGCUCUGUUGCAGAUACAAAGUACUUCCCAGACUGUGGAACUAUCUUCCCAUCAGCCAUAGAGUCGUGCAAGACAAUCUUGCAACCUCUCCCAGCCCAAUUUUUCAAUCCAUCAUCAAAUAUGGGAUUGAGGAUGAUAUUUUCAUCACCAGCAGCUAUGUGUUCCCUGUCCACUCUCUUUCGCAGCACAUAAAAGGAAAUUAUUCAACAACUGUUAAUAACUUAAGUCACAUUUUUUUAUAAUUUCUCCUUAGAAUGCCUAAUUACCUCUUUUCCAUUUGCACUUUGACAAGUUAUCACCACUGAUUUUAUAAGCAAGUCAAUUCCAGAAGAAGGCCCUUCAAGGUAAAAGACAACUCGGUUCGGCAUACUAGACAACGAAAAUGAGCCCUCCACCUUGUCCCAUCUCUCUUUGGAUACAGAAGUUCUGCAGUAGAUCAGUUUGGUUAAAUUGUUCACAGCUUUGGUGAUUUGAGAAGAUAUAGAUACUUAUAAUGUAAGAAACCUUACAUUCCAAUGCGCUUAUAUGUAGCUGCAGAAUCUUGGUGUUCUAGCCUCAGAGUUGCCAAGACAUCAGCAGAGCCUUGAAGAGACCCUGACACUCCAACGCAGGCAGAAACAGAAUAAGUGGAACCUGGAGUAACCCUGCUUGUGAUGUCUUGUUCCAAUCCUUGCCAGCAUUCUUUUCUAUUCGUAACCAUAGCAUAGCAAUCGCCCGAUUCUGCAGAGACCACCCAGCUUUCACAGCAAUUGGGAUGCCAAGAAUGCAAUCCUCCAGAGAAAUUAUGAUUCUGUAUGAUAUUUGUCCCCUGACUACCGCUGGAGUUGGCCAUGACCUGGUUUAGAUUUUACCAAGAGUAAUUGAUCUCAGAAUUCCAUAAUUCUUAAGCUUUAGCUGCACUUUCAAAAUAUCAACAUGCCAUGCUGGUUUUCCCCAAUAGGAGGAAAAGGGAACACUUCGAAAAAUGACCAAUCACUUAAGCAGUUCUGCUAUUCCAGCCGUGAUGUAGGCCAUGCUUGGGGUAUAUGCCACCUGAACCUCAUUGUCCACAUUCCUUGAUCAUAAACCCAAAAUUUGAAAAAAACAUGAGAUAGCAGGGAUCAUUCUGUUGUCCUACUAACAUUGAUAUUCAAUAUCAGGGUCCAGGCCAAUAAUGCAACAACUCUAUGCAGCUUCUCAGCAUACUAUAGACUGGCAAUAAGUUUGAGUUUGAUGAUUGACAUGCUCAUGAAGUGAUCUAUGAGAGCACAUUGUUUGUUUAUGAAUAGAUCUGGACAUCCAACCAAAUCUACAUGAAAGCCAUUUGAAAUGCAUAUAUACCCGCGAAGCGAGAUCAAGGAGAACCACCACCGCAAACCCACAAACAGGCUAAACAGAAACAGUAAUUUCCAUUAUGAGAUCGCAAGCUAAAAUGCUGAGGCUGAACAAAAGGAGAAAGGAGGUACUUACCUCUGAGUUGUUGCUAGCGCUUUCACUCUUUUGGUUACCAGCAGUCUGUUUGGAUACCUUACAAACUCACAGGAAUCAGAAAUAAAGAACAAAGAACAACAAUGUCCUUUAAUAAAGGAAAAUUAAAAACUGAAAUGGGCUCACAGCCGACACCACUAACAAUACCAGAUCUUCAAGAGAAAGAUAGGGAGAGGAAGUACCCGCUGGGUCCCGUGCUUGGGAGGGGUUUUGGCAGGACUUGUGAGGAAACAGGCACAAACCCUCCUCAUUUUAUAGGCUCUGCAGCAGGAUGAUCAAGUGAAGCAUAAGAAAAGAGCGGGACCACCCUAUCCAGAACCAUUUAUUUGAAAGCCCCAAGAAAAGACCAGAGACGAGAUCCUCGAAAAACCCUUCCUUUAGAUCUGGGCUUAAUCAAGACACAGGAAAUUCCAUCAUUAUCAAUCGCAGGUACCGAUUUCAGAAGCUUCCAUUAAGACAGAGGAGAAAACUUGGCAUUCUUGUUUACCUUGUUGGAGAUAAUGUCGAAAGGCUAGCAUUCCUUCGCGGUGGGGCUAGCAGAGCACUAUCAAGAACAACCCAGAAUCGCUUUUGAGGUAAGGCUGACGCUCCAUAAAUUCUCGGCCUCGUUUUGCUUUGUCUUGCAGAUUUGGUUUGUAGCCUAAGUGCGCUUUGGAUGCUUGUAUUGGAAAUGAAGGUUCAUCAUUCCUUUCGGGAUGCAAGAAGAUUCCCUUAUUCUAAUCUUGUUUUCGUAGUCAUCGUUUGGAAUGGAAGUCUAACUGUUAUUUCAUCCCGACGAAUUAGGUGAAAUCUAAUUUUCGACCAGUCAAACAUCCCAUCAAGGUGAUUUGAGUAUGCUAACUUAGCAUUUCCGGGGUGCGAUAAUUCGCAGCUCAUGACUUUGCUCGGUUGGGUCGUGGCUGACGAAAGAGACACCGACACCAGCACCGGCAGUGAGCACCAGAGAGACUCGCAAGACGUGCUGCUAGACUGGCAUGAUAUUUCUGCAAUAAAUUUGACAUCUCUAUCGUCAUCUCCAGCUACAACCUUGCCAUGGAUCCGGUGAAGAGCAACCUUGAGUUGGCAAUUCAUUUCUACGGUUGGGUGAUCAAUAAAAGCUUGAAUUAAAACCCGAGUCAGUAAACAUGUGCAGCUGUGCAGAUCCCAUAACCCAAUCAAGCAAAGCCCCUUUCCUAAUUUCCAAGAGACCAAUCCACGAGAGGUGGUGGACCCAGAAAAGCAGUCCAAUGCCCACCAUCUUGUACAGAAAGAAGGAUUCAGAAAUCCGAAGGCAAAGCAUCCAAAGCUUGAACAAGUCCCUGGAGUCAUCUUGCUGACAGGAUAUAUAACCCGUUCCUGUUUUAGUUGCGUGGGUGGGUCAUCAGAAUGACGAUAUGUAGUUGUGCAAUGCGGCGAGAAGCUAUCCUUCUAGCAAAGGGCUGCAACUGAAAUGAUAAGCAGAUAUUGUCAAUAGUUGACUAGACGAUGUUUUGUUUAUGUCCAUGGACCACUAGGGCUGAGCGCGGUAACCGGAGGAGGGUCCGGUUCGGUUCCCGGUUCCAAGGGGGACCGGUUCCGGAACCAAUUACUUAGGGCAGAAAAAGCUCGACCUUGGAUGUUCUAGUGACUUUUAUGUGAUGUUCUAGUUGAAUUUUGGCUUCGGCCUCUAAAUAAAAGUUGUAAAGGACGUCUUGUAGUAUAACAUACUCAAAUUUGGGACAAAACAAACAAGUAUAAGUGGGUGAAAUCGUUAUUCUUUGGAAAGACUGGAUCUUGAGAUUUUGGGACCGACCCUUGAUGAAUGCAUGGACUGUAAGGCGACCUUUUUGUCGAAAUUUCAAUUCGGUUUCUUAACAAAAGUUGUAAAGGACAUCCUGAGGUACAACAUAUAAAAAAUUUAGAGAAAAAAAACAAGAAUAGGUAGGUGAAAUCGUGGUCCUUUGGAGAUGGUUAGAUCUGGAAUUACAGUACUACGAACAGGGAUUUUAACCGUCCAUAUUUAAUUAUCUAGGACGAAUUUGACUUCGAUGUUUUCAUGAAGUAUCUACCUUAUAGUCUUGUCUAUCACAUAGUCGAAUUUCAUAAUUUUUUAAGGUCAUUUGAGUAUUUAAUCGGAAAUGUUUCUAAAACUGUGCAAUCUGAUGUGUUCGGAUCUUGUAAGUUGCAAUGCGUGGACUAUAUCAUUUUGUAUGAGGUUCUUUUGGAAAUGUGUUCUGCAUGAAAUAUCUCUCUUCAUGUCUUCCCUACAAAAUAUUUAAAUUUCGUAAUUUUUGUAGUUCAUUUGCCUAUUUAACCAAAAAUGUUUCAAAAACUGUGCAAGUAGAGAAUAGGAAAAGUAAAUCGAUUUUAUCUUUUAAUCCAGAACGAAUUGGACUACGAUUUCUUCAUGAAACUUGUACCUCUAGGUCUUAAAUACAACGUUUCCAAAUUUCAGAAUUUUCUGAGUUCAUUUAAGGGUUUAAUCAAAAUUGUUUUCAAAACUUGUACCUCUAGACAUUCUUGUUUUAGUGGUGUUUUAUUUCUACUUUCUAGUUUGCUAUUUGUUUUGAAAUUUCUAAUUAUAUUUUAUUAUUGUUGUGCAGUGCGAAGUUAAUGUAUCAAGAUAACAUGUCAAUGGGAAGUUACCGUGUAGUAUACGCGUACAUUAUAGUUUUUUUUAGUAACGUGUGCAUACGUUAUAUUUUUUUUUUGGUAACGUGCGUGCAUGUUAUAGUUUUUUUUUUGGUAACGUGCGCAUACGUUAUAUUUUUUUUGGUAACGUGCACAUAUGUUAUAGUUUUUUUUUUUGGUAACGUGCGCGUAUGUUAUAUUUUUUUUGGGUAACGUGCGCAUAUGUUAUAGUUCAAAUAUGAUAAUAACAAAAAAAAAAAGAAAAAAGAACCUGUUGGAACCUGGAACCGACCCUGGAACUUGUGACAGGGUAGGUUCCAAGUUCCAAGGUCGGUUCCAGGUUCUCGGUUCCCACGGGUAGGUUUUAGGUUCCAGGUUCGAGACGGAACCGAACCGGAACUUGAAACCGCUCACCCCUAUGGACCAUUGCUGAGCGACAACGAAAAGGAAAACAGAAGGCCAAAAUUCAACAGAUAAAAGACAGGCCCAUUGGUCCUGAAAGCCCAUCCGGAUAGCUCCGGACCGGGACGUUUGUGAGCGUGAAUCGCCCCAUUCUUAUUAUCAAAAUCAAAACCCCACAUGCGGAUGGCGAACCCGUGCAGGACGAACGAGCUGCCUGCACCCUGGAGAGCGAACAUACCGUUGAUGGAGCCAGCCGGAGAAUUCGGGACUUCCCUCGCAGUCUGCCUAAGUUGGUUCGAUGAGAAGACGGUGCUUUUCUGAUCAUGGAACUCGAAAGCAAACGUGCAUAUGGGGAGUGAUGGAAGCCUCAAGUCGGCCAGAAGCAAGGGAUGAAGACGGUGCCACCAUCUUAUACGUGAAACUGCAAGCUGGUCACUAACAGUAACUACAAGAGAAAACGAAACACCCAUAAAACUGCAAGCUGGAACUUCCCUGAGAUGUCCCAAGCGAGGCGGUAACGGUUCAAGUAACGAAACUCGAAGCCUCUACUUGAAUGUCCCUGCAGACGGAGUGUUACAGUUCAAACGAACUAUAGUCACUACCUAGGAAGUCCCAAACAAAAUAGGAUAACAUGAUCACAUGAUGAUACAGAUGAAAUAGCAACAAUCCCUGCCAUUUCAGUUCUACGGCCUCCAAAGUUUAUACCAGCAAGUGGUGGCCCAUUCUCGAUACACUUGUUAGGGAAAUACGUAUUAAACAGGAUGAGGAUUAUAAAAUGGUAGUCACAUCAUUUUAUAAUAAUAUUGAAGUGUAAGUUUUUGUUAUCCGACACUUUAAUUUUUAGAUAUUAAAUAUGUUAAAGGAAAAAUGGAGGAAUUUUCCAUAUAUAUUGCACAACAUUGCAAAGGUAUAUCAAAAAAAUAAAAUCAUAGCACGAGAAUACAGGUACAAUUCUAUCUUUAAAAUACAAGUUGGCAAAAAAAAAAGGGAAAAUAAUUUGUCUUCCAUUAGAUUGACGAAGGAAUAAAAGAAAGAGGAAAAUAGCAUAAGUAAAAAGGGGUAACGUAGAAAAUCUUAUUGGGGUAACGUAGAAAAUCUUAUUUUUUUGGGGAAAUAGAAAAAAACAAAAUAUGAACAGGAACGAAAAUUUACAACUCAUUCGAAGGGUCAGUCAGAUUCUCAGUAGGCAGCAACCAUAUCUUAUCUUUUGGUUUUGAAAUUACAAUGAAGAUAUGAAUCGAUCCCUUUGCAAACUAUGCUAUGUACAGUCAUGCACCGCCUUGCAUCGUGCAAUUUGGCUAAGAAUGUCGGAAAGAACAUGAUCAACGACAAUAUUCAGUUGCAACACUCACAUGCGACUCGAAAGACUUAUGGACAUGACGAGUGGAGACUCGCCCUUAUCAACGACAAUGCUCUUUGUAGUCCGUUUAGAAGCGGUGACGAUCUCGACGUCGUAUGUCCCGUGAAAGCCUCUAAACGCGAAUUCGCCUUGCUCAUCGACAUGUCCGUGAGCAUGAGACGACCACUCUUUCCUAAGAGCGAGGUAUCUCUUGCCAGCUUCAUUGACGUCCCCCUCCGCAUUGACCAGGUGCGCGUUGCUUCGGAACAUUAACAGCUCCCAGAAUCCCCACAGCACUAUCCCAUCCACUGCAGCAUGAGCAAAUGCUUCUCGGAGCAUGACCUCGAGAUCAUCAGCUCUUACGUGCUGGUUAGCAGAGGACACAUCAAGCUCGGUG